CUGGCGGCGUGCUUAACACAUGCAAGUCGAACGCUGAAGCACCAGCUUGCUGGUGUGGAUGAGUGGCGAACGGGUGAGUAAUACGUGAGUAACCUGCCCUUGACUCUGGGAUAAGCCCGGGAAACUGGGUCUAAUACUGGAUGCUACAUGUCACCGCAUGGUGGUGUGUGGAAAGGGUUUACUGGUCUUGGAUGGGCUCACGGCCUAUCAGCUUGUUGGUGAGGUAAUGGCUCACCAAGGCGACGACGGGUAGCCGGCCUGAGAGGGUGACCGGCCACACUGGGACUGAGACACGGCCCAGACUCCUACGGGAGGCAGCAGUGGGGAAUAUUGCACAAUGGGCGAAAGCCUGAUGCAGCGACGCCGCGUGAGGGAUGACGGCCUUCGGGUUGUAAACCUCUUUCAGCAGGGAAGAAGCCACAAGUGACGGUACCUGCAGAAGAAGCGCCGGCUAACUACGUGCCAGCAGCCGCGGUAAUACGUAGGGCGCAAGCGUUGUCCGGAAUUAUUGGGCGUAAAGAGCUCGUAGGCGGUUUGUCGCGUCUGCUGUGAAAGCCCGGGGCUUAACCCCGGGUGUGCAGUGGGUACGGGCAGACUAGAGUGCAGUAGGGGAGACUGGAAUUCCUGGUGUAGCGGUGGAAUGCGCAGAUAUCAGGAGGAACACCGAUGGCGAAGGCAGGNNNNUGGGCUGUUACNGAC
rnacentral:rRNA from 1 species